CUUUCUCCGUCUUCUUCCUCAAACAAUGAACCUCCGUUUCUUCUUCUACACCCUUUCGGUCUACUUUCUUCUUUUUAGCGAUGUCCUUCCGCUUCUUUCUCUACUCAAUGUCCUCUACCUUCUUCCACAACGACUUCAUUUCGUUUUUCUUCUCAAAUUUCUCAAACCUUUUUAUGGUUUUGGUCAAAAUAGGUUGAACUUUAGUGGAGCCUCGAGUUGGGAACAAGUUCCGUAUCGAUCGAAAAAUUGGUAGCGGAUCCUUUGGAGAUAUUUAUCUUGGUAACAAUAUUCAGACAAAUGAAGAGGUUGCAAUUAAGUUUUCACAAUUAAUAUGUCUAAUUUUAUGGCGCGCCUUACCUUCUUGCAGUCCUUUGUUACACAUAGAAUACUUCUAUGCGGUUCAGAUGAUCAACCUGUUACAAGCAAUUGUGAAAACUCCUCAUUGUAUGUGUUGGAAUGGUUAUUACCAAGAAUUGGAUUUCUAGAUAAGAUUAUAGUGAAGGAUUUAGCAGGUCUGACUUGCAAAAUAUUCCUUAAGACUAUUGCAUUGGGUGGUCACUCAACUGAAGUGGUCAGGCUUCAAUCAAACACUGACUUUAGCAAAUUCCAUGGGUGAUAUUCUAGCUAAUGAAUCUUAUCUGAGAAUUUCCGUGAUCUACUGUGCUAGUCACAUGAAAGUAAUUGAGUUAGGUGAAGGUUGAAUCCCAAUGGUGGCUUUUGCAGAAGAAUUUUGAAUUGAGACCUUGUAGUAGAAACUCAUAAUUUAAUGUACCAAGUUAUGUAAUAGAAACUCUGUUUUGUGUUGUAAAUGGUUUGGUCUAAUUUGACCAAACUCAAUUUACGUGUAUGAGGCAUAAGCUUUGCGCUAUCAGCAUGAGUGCCAACAGAUACCAGAAAAAAAAUUAAAGCAAAGAAGCUUUUGCAAAAGGGGUUUCAACAUAUUUUACUUGAUACAUGUGUCAAUGAAUCAUUCAAAUUUUCAAAACUUAAUACUUGACCAAAAUUACAAAAAAAAUGCCACUAGUCACAACAACCACU